AUGAUUGUAUAUUUAGAAAACCCCAUCAUCUCAGCCCCAAAUCUCCUUAAGCUGAUAAGCAACUUCAGCAAAGUCUCAGGAUACAAAAUCAAUGUGCAAAAAUCACAAGCAUUCCUAUACACCAACAACAGACAAAUAGCGAGCCAAUCGUGAGUGAACUCCCAUUCACAAAUGCUAAAAGAGAAUAAAAUAUUUAGGAACACAACUUACAAAGGAUGUGAAGGACCUCUUCAAGGAGAACUACAAACCACUGCUCAAGGAAAUAAGAGAGGACACAAACAAAUGGAAAAACAUUCUAUACUCAUGUAUAGGAAGAAUCAAUAUCAUGAAAAUGGCCAUACUGCCCAAAGUAAUUUAUAGAUUCAAUGCUAUCACCAUCAAGCUACCAUUAACUUUCUUCACAGAAUUAGAAAAAACUAGUUUAAGUCUCAUAUGGAACAGAAAAGAACAACUGUAUAAUUUCCACUCUUGGGCUUCAGCCCUUUGGCUUUUUCUAUAUAGCUGAAGAUGGCUGAUAUAGCCUGGGAAUCAUGGGGAUAUCUAGGAGGAAUAAAAACUUUAACUUCACAAAUGUGAACAGUUCCAACUGUGUUGGCCAAACCAGUUUCUGUGGGCAUGAAUUUUUAAAAUUAUUUCUAAAACUGAUUUAAGAAAUAUUUGUAGAACACUGUGACAUAUUUAGAUAAAAGUAUCUGGGUAGAACAUUGAGUGUCAUUUUACUGAGUGUCCAAGUCUUUGAAAUAAUGUAAAUAUUCUUGUGUAUUGUAAAAUACUUGGAUUAAUUGAUAUUUUGAAACAUACCUCUUCUGAAUCAUGAAAAUAUUUACUUGGUACUCUAGUUUGAGGUAAAAUAUUUCAUGUUUUCUUUCUCCAUUGUCCUGCUAUAAACUUCUUAAGAAUAUGUAUAAUUAAAAUUGUAGGUACUUGCUGUUGAUUAAAAUACCUAUAUUCAAUAGGUUGAAAACAUGUAUGUUUUUAAAAUAAACUGAUAGUAAAAUAUCUCCACAAUUUGCCCAAACUUGGGGGUGGAAAUGGGACUAAAAAAGAUAAUUAACAUACAUGAAUAUACAUAUAUACUUUACAUAUUUCAUAUAAAAUGUAUAAUAUGAUAUAUUUAGAAUUUUUCAAGCAAUGAAACACGAAACCUCUGAGUUGUCAAAAGAUGUUUCAUAAAAUGAGUC
rnacentral:lncRNA from 1 species